rnacentral:rRNA from 1 species
GACAGAGGGUGCAAGCGUUGCUCGGAAUCACUGGGCGUAAAGGGCGUGUAGGCGGGCCGGUAAGUCGGGCGUGAAAUCCCUAGGCUCAACCUAGGAACUGCACUCGAAACUACCAUUCUUGAGUGUCGGAGAGGAAAGCGGAAUUCCUGGUGUAGAGGUGAAAUUCGUAGAUAUCAGGAGGAACACCAGUGGCGAAGGCGGCUUUCUGGACGAUAACUGACGCUGAGACGCGAAAGCGUGGGGAGCAAACAGG